rnacentral:rRNA from 1 species
CCAGACUCCUACGGGAGGCAGCAGUGGGGAAUAUUGCACAAUGGGGGAAACCCUGAUGCAGCGACGCCGCGUGAGUGAAGAAGUAUUUCGGUAUGUAAAGCUCUAUCAGCAGGGAAGAAAAUGACGGUACCUGAUUAAGAAGCCCCGGCUAACUACGUGCCAGCAGCCGCGGUAAUACGUAGGGGGCAAGCGUUAUCCGGAUUUACUGGGUGUAAAGGGAGCGUGGACGGCAGCACAAGUCUGGAGUGACAGCCCGGGGCUUAACCCGGGAACUGCUUUGGAAACUGUGCGGCUGGAGUGCGGGAGGGGUAGGCGGAAUUCCUAGUGUAGCGGUGAAAUGCGUAGAUAUUAGGAGGAACACCGGUGGCGAAGGCGGCUUACUGGACUGUAACUGACGUUGAGGCUCGAAAGCGUGGGGAGCAAACAGGAUUAGAUACCCCCGUA